AAAAUGGCCAUGAGUAUUAGACUCAUCUCUGCUGUGGUGCUUUGUUUCCUAGGACUAGGCCUUGUGGACAUGGAUGUAAUGCAGACACCAAGAUAUCUGGUCAAAAGAAUGGGAGAGGAAGUUUUGCUGGACUGUGUACAGGAUAUCGGCCAUGAAAGAAUGUUCUGGUAUCGACAAGACCCAGGUCUAGGGCUACGGUUGAUUCAUUUUUCAUAUGAUGUUGACAGUAACAGCAAAGGAGAUAUCCCUGAAGGAUACCGGGUCUCUCGGAAGAAACGGGAGCGCUUCUCCCUGAUUCUGGAGUCUGCAGAAACCAGCCAGACAUCUGUGUACUUCUGUGCCAGCAGUUUAUCCACAGCUCUGCAGAGGCACAUCCUCUCCACACAAAAAGCACCUACGAGAAGGAGAUGGCUCUGCCUUCAGGUUGAUGCUGACUUUCAUAUCACAUAG